UAUAAUGGGUCAGCGACUUAUAUUCUGUAGCAAGGUUAACCGAAUAGGGGAGCCGCAGGGAAACCGAGUCUUAACUGGGCGAAUUAGUUGCAGGGUAUAGACCCGAAACCCGGUGAUCUAGCCAUGGGCAGGUUGAAGGUUGGGUAACACUAACUGGAGGACCGAACCGACUAAUGUUGAAAAAUUAGCGGAUGACUUGUGGCUGGGGGUGAAAGGCCAAUCAAACCGGGAGAUAGCUGGUUCUCCCCGAAAGCUAUUUAGGUAGCGCCUCGUGAAUUCAUCUCCGGGGGUAGAGCACUGUUUCGGCUAGGGGGUCAUCCCGACUUACCAACCCGAUGCAAACUGCGAAUACCGGAGAAUGUUAUCACGGGAGACACACGGCGGGUGCUAACGUUCGUCGUGAAGAGGGAAACAACCCAGACCGCCGGCUAAGGUCCCAAAGUCAUAAUUAAGUGGGAAACGAAGUGGGAAGGCUCAGACAGCCAGGAUGUUGGCUUAGAAGCAGCCAUCAUUUAAAGAAAGCGUAAUAGCUCACUGGUCGAGUCGGCCUGCGCGGAAGAUGUAACGGGGCUAAAUUAUGCACCGAAGCCGCGGCAGCGAUAUGUAAAUAUUGUUGGGUAGGGGAGCG
rnacentral:rRNA from 1 species